AAGUGACAUGGAAAAAUCUCCAUCAGAAAAUGGUAUGCACCAUCGCCAUCUCCGACGAUGGAAUUGGGUCCCACCGACGGCCUCGUGUCGAUGGUGGGUUUAGACGGCGUAUCUUUCAGUUGAAAGGGCAAAUUGUAGCCUAGUAUAUAUCAUGUUACCGUAGAUGCGGGGCGAAGCAUGCAUAACUGAUUUGGUCGGCGACGAUAUUUGUUGCUUUGAAGCCAGGGAUCGGAAACGACGCCGAAAACAACGUGGAUGUGGAUGAUAUUUGCAGGUUUGAAGUCGCACGAUCGUAUCUAAUUGCAUUGAGGAUGGUAUUUUCAGCACAACGCAUUCUUGAUCCAUUUUUUUUGGUCGUUUUUGACAAGCUGAAAGUAGUUUUUUUUUCCUCUUUUUUUUGAGGGGG
rnacentral:lncRNA from 1 species